UGGAAGAGUCCCUACCCAACUUCAUAAAGC
rnacentral:piRNA from 1 species